UGUGGGGGGUGUUACAGCAGGGUGAAGGAGAGAAAGCGAGCAGUUUGAGGCAGAGCGAGUUUCUUUUUCUGUGGGGAGCGGCUGACGCCUGUGAGCCGAUCCGGGAAGUUUUCUCGUGGGGGAGUGAAUGGGGGAGAACCUGCUGCUGUCUCCGGUGUCCCGCGUGGGAGGGGUCUAGGGUCACGGGAGGGAGGUCUACUUCCUGGAGUCCCUCUGUUUCACAUGCAGGAGGUGCACAGAGAGUGGGGGCUUCUGGGAAUAAAGUCGGAGGGGGGCAAAACGACUCAAAGAACCAGGAGGCUCCAUGUCCUCCAGACAGUCUACCCCACAACAGAAGGAGGAGGAGGGUGGGGAGGAAGAGGAGGAAGAACAAGGAGAACGAUUCAAAUUUGAUAAUAGCAACGGAGAUGUCUAUUCUAAGGACUGUAUCAGUGCACUGACUGAUGAGACAACUAGGACAAACGCAGUGGGGAAAAGGGCAUCUUCUUUGAGUGUUGGAGCAGUGGCACCCCCUGAAGAAUCUACUAUUAGAUUACCCUCAAAAAAAACAGAGCAGGACAGAAAUAUUGCACCCCCUGCUGGCAAGGAAGACUGUAACACAGGAGACUGUCCUGGCACUGAGACGUCAGAUGACGUCCCCCAUUCGCUUCCAGGAGGGGGAUCUAUUGACAAGGGGGCCGCUGGGCACAGGCAGGCGGAGGUGCUGCCCAGAGAUCAGCUGGAGGGCACCGCUGGCGAGAGCAAUGGGCUUUGCCAAGGUAAGGAAGCACCCCUUCCUCGUGAACUGA